UUUGAUCAUACGUUCUUACAAUCAAAACUUAUAUUUUGAUUUGUACAUAUAUACAUAGUUUAAUCAUUUAAAUAAAUAGAUAAAUUAAUGUAUAUAUGUCCCUAUUUCCUAGGGAGAAAAAUAAGACAUUAAAAAAGAAUACAGAGUGCUAGGGAUGAUGAGUAUUUAUAAUGUUAAAUAGAAGGAUCAUCACCAAUAAAAGGUGAUAUUUGAAUAAAAAUCUCAAAAAAGUGAAGAGGAGGUCAUGCUGCAUUUAGGAGAAGCAUAGCUAAAAGGAAACACAAUUUAAAAACUUUGAGACAGAGCCUGCCUACUUUGCAUAAUGCACAACAGGAGAUCUAUGUGGCCAGAGUGGAGGAACCCUUGGCUUUGAGGAACAAAUCAACAAAUAUAUGGAACUUGCAAAAUACUUCUAUAAGGUUUUAAAGAAAAAAGAUAACUUUAAGCUUGUGUUUGAUGCAGAGGCUUAAACAUAUUCCAAAAGGUUUUGAAAGAGAUCAAGAACUCCGAAAGAUUGCUCCAAAGAUUAAAGCACAGAUGAUGAUGGAAGGCACAAUCAUGAUAAGCUACCAGCCAUGUGGAGACAAAGUAAAUAUUUUGCGAAUGGUUUUUUUCUAAUCCUGCCUCAAGACAGAAAGAUGUUGACUAUCUUAUUGAUGAAAUUGAAAGGCUUGGGAAGGAUUUAUGAUACUUCAAUGUGAACUUGGAUAUCCCAUGUAAACAUCAACUUAAUUCUAUUCCUAAGGAUAAUAAGAAAGGAAUAUUGAAACUGUUAUAAAAAUGUUAUGAAUAAGAACUUUUAAUUUUUAUUCUAUGCUAUGUAAGAUGAAAGGUAAGAUGAAA
rnacentral:lncRNA from 1 species